rnacentral:rRNA from 1 species
CCUACGGGGGGCUGCGGUGAGGAAUAUUGGUCAAUGGACGAGAGUCUGAACCAGCCAAGUAGCGUGAAGGAUGACUGCCCUAUGGGUUGUAAACUUCUUUUAUAUGGGAAUAAAACGUUCCACGUGUGGGAUUUUGUAUGUACCAUAUGAAUAAGGAUCGGCUAACUCCGUGCCAGCAGCCGCGGUAAUACGGAGGAUCCGAGCGUUAUCCGGAUUUAUUGGGUUUAAAGGGAGCGUAGGUGGAUUGUUAAGUCAGUUGUGAAAGUUUGCGGCUCAACCGUAAAAUUGCAGUUGAAACUGGCAGUCUUGAGUACAGUAGAGGUGGGCGGAAUUCGUGGUGUAGCGGUGAAAUGCUUAGAUAUCACGAAGAACUCCGAUUGCGAAGGCAGUUCACUGGACUGCAACUGACACUGAGGCUCGAAAGUGUGGGUAUCAAACAGGAUUAGAUACCCGGGUAGUC